UGAUCUGUGGCUUAGUUGUUUAAAGCGCCGGACUAGUGAUAUGUCGUCGUGGGUACGAAUCUCACCAAAACAA
rnacentral:tRNA from 1 species